rnacentral:rRNA from 2 species
AAAUUGAAGAGUUUGAUCAUGGCUCAGAUUGAACGCUGGCGGCAGGCCUAACACAUGCAAGUCGAACGGUAACAGGAAGCAGCUUGCUGCUUCGCUGACGAGUGGCGGACGGGUGAGUAAUGUCUGG